rnacentral:rRNA from 1 species
CAGUAGCCGCGGUAAUACGAAGGGGGCUAGCGUUAUUCGGAAUUACUGGGCGUAAAGCGCACGUAGGCGGAUAUUUAAGUCAGGGGUGAAAUCCCAGAGCUCAACUCUGGAACUGCCCUUGAUACUGGGUAUCUUGAGUAUGGAAGAGGUGAGUGGAAUUCCGAGUGUAGAGGUGAAAUUCGUAGAUAUUCGGAGGAACACCAGUGGCGAAGGCGGCUCACUGGUCCAUUACUGACGCUGAGGUGCGAAAGCGUGGGGAGCAAACAGGAUUAGAUACCCCUGUAGUCCCUGUCUCUUAUAC